AUUGAACGCUGGCGGCAUGCUUUACACAUGCAAGUCGAACGGCAGCGGGGUAGUGCUUGCACUACUGCCGGCGAGUGGCGCACGGGUGAGUAAUAUAUCGGAACGUAUCGAGUAAUGGGGGAUAAACAAUCGAAAGAUUGGCUAAAACCGCAUACGCCCUGAGGGAGAAAGCGGGGGAUCGCAAGACCCCGCGUUAUUCGAGCGGCCGCUAACUGAUUAGCUAGUUGGUGGGGUAAAGGCCCACCAAGGCGACGAUCAGUAGCGGGUCUGAGAGGACGAUCCGCCACACUGGAACUGAGACACGGCCCAGACUCCUACGGGAGGCAGCAGUGGGGAAUUUUGGACAAUGGGGGCAAGCCUGAUCCAGCCAUGCCGCGUGUAUGAAGAAGGCCUUCGGGUUGUAAAGUACUUUUGUUAGGGAAGAAAAGGGAAGUGCUAAUACCACUUUUUGCUGACGGUACCUAAAGAAUAAGCACCGGCUAACUACGUG
rnacentral:rRNA from 1 species